rnacentral:tRNA from 1 species
GGGCCCGUAGCUUAGUCUGGUGAGAGCGCCCGGCUCAUAACCGGGCGGUCCUGAGUUCAAAUCUCAGCGGGCCCA